CUGCGCAGUCUGAGACAUCCCCGAGCGUCGCUGGAAGAGCGGCUGCGCAACGAGUGAAUAUAAGGACUGAGGUGCAGCCUGGCGGCCAGGAGGUUGAAAGUGCAAGAUUCUUCUGCGCCUGCGCGGCCCGGGUCACUUCGCUGGCCGCUUCAAGGCUCCCGGCUCGCCGCCAUCUUGUGUUGGGGCUUCAUUGUUCGCGCUGGGCCGGGUGGUUUAGUGUAAUUGCCGCCGAAGGAGGGGGCGGAGUAACCUCCGGUCGGCCGAGAAACCCAGCUAUUUCACAGACAUAGCAGCUCAAAAGAUUUGUGAGGUAGUAAAGGGUAGAGAGCUGGACCCGGAGGCGCCGCCGCGACAGCAGCAGCCAUGGAGGACGAAAUGCCUAAGACUCUAUAUGUCGGUAACCUUUCCCGAGAUGUGACAGAAGCUUUAAUUCUCCAGCUCUUUAGCCAGAUUGGACCUUGUAAAAACUGCAAAAUGAUUAUGGAUACAGCUGGAAAUGAUCCAUAUUGUUUUGUGGAGUUUUAUGAGCAUCGUCAUGCAGCUGCAGCACUAGCUGCUAUGAAUGGGCGGAAGAUAAUGGGUAAGGAAGUCAAAGUGAAUUGGGCAACAACCCCCAGCAGUCAAAAGAAAGAUACAAGCAGUAGUACCGUUGUCAGCACACAGCGUUCACAAGAUCAUUUCCAUGUCUUUGUUGGUGAUCUCAGUCCAGAAAUUACAACUGAAGAUAUAAAAGCUGCUUUUGCACCAUUUGGAAGAAUAUCAGAUGCCCGAGUGGUAAAAGACAUGGCAACAGGAAAGUCUAAGGGAUAUGGCUUUGUCUCCUUUUUCAACAAAUGGGAUGCUGAAAACGCCAUUCAACAGAUGGGUGGCCAGUGGCUUGGUGGAAGACAAAUCAGAACUAACUGGGCAACCCGAAAGCCUCCAGCUCCAAAGAGUACAUAUGAGUGUAGGUGAAUUGGAGAAGAAAAGGAAAUGUGGAAUUUUGGAGGAAAAUACACUAGAUUUUAAAUGUUAGAGCUGUUCCCGGAGACUUAUUGCAGAAAUAGAUGAGAAGCAAAUCAAGACUACUGUUCAAAAAUCAAACACCAAACAGCUAUCAUACGAUGAGGUCGUAAAUCAGUCUAGUCCAAGCAACUGUACUGUGUAUUGUGGAGGUGUCACUUCUGGGCUAACAGAACAACUAAUGCGUCAGACUUUUUCGCCAUUUGGACAAAUAAUGGAAAUUCGAGUCUUUCCAGAUAAAGGAUAUUCUUUUGUUCGGUUCAAUUCCCAUGAAAGUGCAGCACAUGCAAUUGUUUCUGUUAAUGGAACUACCAUUGAAGGCCAUGUUGUGAAAUGCUACUGGGGCAAAGAAACUCUUGAUAUGAUAAAUCCCGUGCAACAGCAGAAUCAAAUUGGAUAUCCACAAGCUUAUGGCCAGUGGGGCCAGUGGUAUGGGAAUGCACAACAAAUUGGCCAAUAUAUGCCUAAUGGUUGGCAAGUACCUGCAUAUGGAAUGUAUGGCCAGCCAUGGAACCAGCAGGGAUUUAAUCAGACACAGUCUUCUGCACCGUGGAUGGGACCAAAUUAUGGAGUGCAGCCGCCUCCAGGACAGAAUGGCAGCAUGAUGCCUAAUCAGCCUGCAGGGUAUCGAGUCGCAGGGUAUGAAACCCAGUGAAAAAGGACUCCAGAAUCUAAAGCCAGUGGCUUAAGGCUACAGGGAGUGUAGUAAAGCCGUUGUUUACUUAAAGAUUUAUCAAAUCAGUCAGUGCAAAUGUCAGAUACAAUGUAUUUAUUUAAAAGAUUCAUUUUUUAAUCAUGAAAUUACUUACCAUCCGCAUUGUUUUAAAAAGAAACAAUAUGCUGGAUGUCUGCCAAUUUUUGCCUUCAUUACCUUUUUUGAUAAAGUUUCUCAAAUCCUUGUUUCAAAUACAAAUGCAGGGAUUGCUGCCACUUUUUUAAAAUUGAGGCAGAAAAUUGCACAAUGUUCAACUUUUUUCCACUGAAGUAGUGUGCAGUUCUAGUUUGCAUUCCUGAUAUGAUUUAAAACAUGUAAUAUAAAGAUGUAAAAAAAAAGAAAAAAGGAAAACCAAAACUGUGCAGAGUCUAGAAGUUCUUUGUAAUCUUCAGCUUAUGCACAAUUCUAUUUUAGGUUUUUUUGAAAUAGGCAUUGUUUGAGCUGUCCCAUCUCCACUGUUUUCCCUUUGGGGUUUUUUAAUAUAAGUUAUUAGUUUACAUCAUUUUUGUAUCUACAUUUUUUUCACAAAUUUGUCUUGCCUUAUUAAAGUUCUAUGAAAUAUACUUAAAUGGAAAAAAAUGAUCUUUAGAUUGAAAACUUUUCUCAGAUGGAUUGAUAAUUGCAUUCAUCUUGUGUUUUAUAUGAGAAGGUGCCUCAAGAAUUCCCUGUUGAAUUUGUUUAAAAGGGUUUUUAUCUUCUGUGAUAAACUUUGCUGUGUACCAGGAAAUAUAAAAACAAAAACUUGUUACUAAAGAAAAUCUCUGAAAUGUGAUAAGUUCUUAUGGACCCAUGUUAAUUUCAUGUGUCAACUUCUACAUUUACAUGUAUCAUUUCAUUAUGUAAAAUGUUUUAGCAAUUUAAUAUUUUGCACAGUUAGCAAACUUUGUAUGUCAUUUCCUCCUUAAAGGCAUCAUGCAGAGUUGACAGGAGAUUUAUAAGGUUUUGUUUGCAUGUGAAUAUCAAAUACACACUUUGGUAGUCUUUGAAUACAAAGUCAUCUGCUCUUGUUUUUCAAGAACUUUGAGACACAAAGUUGUAUGUAAAGAAAUAUAUUAAUUUGCCAUAUCCUAGUUAUAUUUACUCAAAAAGAGUAAAUCAACUUGAUUUUAAUAUGUACAAAUGAUAGCUGUGAAACUGUAGAAUAUCCUUAUGUCAGGCUUGGGGUUUCGUGUGAACUCCAAAAUCAGCCUGAAUGACCAGCCGGGCAAAGCAUUUUUUAAAUGUUCAGAGGCCAAAAGAUAAACAAACAAAAAACCGUGAAAUCCUACCUCCUUAACCAGCCUUCAAAGAGGAGAAUCCUCAGUGCAAUCAUUACUUUGAUUCUUUUGGUACCUGUUUUCCUGGAGUUCCCAAUUUUAUUAUUUUGGGGUGGCUCCGAGCAUUAAGAGGUUUAAUCUUUGAUGGCAUUGUUCUAGUUUUGAAAUUUCUAGUAUAUUUCAGUCUCUUGGAAGAAUUGUGGGAGAUUUUGUUUUGUUUUGUUUUGUUUUCAGCGAAAGUCACAAACUCUCCUCUUCUAUGACUCACAAAGGGGAAGGGUCCCCAGUAUACAUAUUUGGAUGCUUGGUUGUUUUUAAGACCAGAGAGCUCCUGGUGUUUUAUUUAGGAACAGAAAAGGCCCAUGGAAUCCUAAGAGUUUCCUGGCCUGUAUCCUCCAGGUAGGAGCAGAUGACUCUAAGCUGGUCUCUAAGCCAAUACUCCUGUAAACCAGAGCCCAGGAAAGACAGCUCAUAAAUGUAUAAUUCUCUGGAGCUCAAUUCUAUGCAGUUGUACUGAUGUUUCAUCAAGUCACUGUGUAUUUUCUAAGUGUUGAUACAUUAAAAGUUGCUUUAUGGAAGAUGAGUAAAUUUUUUAAACACUUGGAAAUUUUAUUUCCUUGUUAAUUAACCUUCUACAGAUCAGGGCAUGCAACCAAGAGCAGCUUAAAUACUCAAAAAAAAGUAACAGGAUGCUGUUUUUAGAUUCUUCUGGUUUGUGUUCCUAUUUUAGGACCCUCACUUUUCUCUUAUUCAAAAGUAUUUUAUGUCCUAUACAUCUGUGGAUUGCAGGGUAAAUUAUUUGGGCAUAAAUAAUCCAAGCAAAAGUAUAGUUCUUCUUUCAUCUUGACUAUCUCAAGAAAUAACACUUUUUAUUAGCCAAUAUUUUCUUAUUGCACAAUUCUAAAAUGUACAUUGACUACUUUUUGAGAAGAAAGUAGCAUUACUCAAAGGCUUAUUACUACUGAACAAAUUUGCAAUUCAGGAACAUUGCUAACUUUGCUUUCAAUCUUACUCUCAGUGUUAAAUCAUUUUAAAAAUUUACAGUCUAAAAAUCAUACUGGUAUUAGUAUCAGGUAAGGAAAUUAAAGUUUUUUAAAUGGAUUCAUUCUCUGCAAUAUGCAUUCAGAUUUUACUUUAAAAUACAUCUGGUACUGUAAAGAACCUAAAGUGGUUCACACUUAAUGGGUCAUUAAUCCAGUAUUCUUUGCCCUGACUGUUUGGAUAUUAAAGUUCCUUUAUGUUUUCUAUAA